rnacentral:tRNA from 1 species
CGAGCGGUCGUUCAGUUGGUUAGAAUACCGGCCUGUCACGCCGGGGGUCGCGGGUUCGAGUCCCGUCCACUCCGCCA